rnacentral:rRNA from 1 species
CCUACGGGGGGCAGCAGUGGGGAAUAUUGGGCAAUGGGCGCAAGCCUGACCCAGCAACGCCGCGUGAAGGAAGAAGGCUUUCGGGUUGUAAACUUCUUUUCUCAGGGACGAAGCAAGUGACGGUACCUGGGGAAUAAGCCAUGGCUAACUACGUGCCAGCAGCCGCCGUCAUACGUAGGUGGCAAGCGUUAACCGGAUUUACUGGGUGUAAAGGGCGUGUAGGGGGGAAAGCAAGGCAGAUGUGAAAACCAUGGGCUCAACCUGUGGCCUGCAUUUGAAACUGUUUUUCUUGAGUACUGGAGAGGCAGACGGAAUUCCUGGUGUAGCGGUGAAAUGCGUAGAUAUUAGGAGGAACACCAGUGGCGAAGGCGGUCUGCUGGACAGCAACUGACGCUGAGGCGCGAAAGCGUGGGGAGCAAACAGGAUUAGAUACCCCUGUAGUC